rnacentral:lncRNA from 1 species
GGUGCUUCACCAAACAAACUGCAAAUUUCUCUAAUUUGUUUCAGUGCAGGAAUGACCCAUUUGUCAUUUGUGCGAAGCUCUUCUAUAAAACGAUCUAUCCACUGGAUCUUUUGUGUAUCUCGAUCCUGUGAACAGCUGUAAUCUAAGAUUUUAAUAUGGGCACUAAGAGCCUGGUCCAUGAUAUCAACUGGUACAUCAUCACUGUGAGCCAGAUUCCACAAAAGGUUCAGCACUUUGUG